UACGUAUGGGGCAAGCGUUAUCCGGAAUUAUUGGGCGUAAAGAGUGCGUAGGUGAUUACCUAAGCGCAAGGUUUAAUCUUGAGGCUCAACCUCAUUCUGCCUUGCGAACUGGGCUACUUGAGUGCAGGAGGGGAAAGCGGAAUUCCCAGUGUAGCGGUGAAAUGCGUAGAUAUUGGGAAGAACACCGGUGGCGAAGGCGGCUUUCUGGACUGUAACUGACACUGAGGCACGAAAGCGUGGGGAGCAAACAGGAUUAGAUACCCGCGUAGUCCCU
rnacentral:rRNA from 1 species